UGUAUGUUUGUUAAACAAUUGGGAAUCGAGACAUUUUUUCAUCAACAUCGUUUCCAUCGUUUCAUCUCCAAUUGGGAAUCGUUCAAUCUUUUCAUCUCCAUCUUCUCACGAUCAAAUUUUCAAAAAAGAGAGUAAAAUCAAGUUCAAUACUUCUUCAAUCAACCGAAUCUUGAAGAGAAAACAAAAAUUUGUGACAUGAGAGAAGCUCCGAUUAGUUGAAUCAAUUGGGUUUGUCUAUGAAGAUGAUGGUGCUAUCAAUCGGUUGAUUCAGUUUUCACCCAUGGCUUUAUCGAUCAGAUUUAUCUUACCAAUUGGAUUGUACAUGUGAAAGCCUAUACUAUCAACCGAAAGAUAUAUAUGAAGACAUCAUGAUAUUCGUAAGAUAAGUAGUUGUUUCUUAAAAUGUUUUUAAUUGUUUUUUAUUGGAAUAUUACAUCUUUACUGAUUAAUUUGUUUUGCAAUUUAAUCCAGGAAAUGAAAUGAGAAGUACUUCCAGGAAUUCUGAAGUUUAUUACAAUAGAGUAUAAUGACAUGAAGCCAUAAACAGAGAUUGAUUAACGUUUUUUGGAGGAAAAGUUAUUGAUAAGAGAGGAUAAGUUUUAGCAGAGAAAAAAUUGAAGCUUCUUCAAUGACCUUCUCAAAGUCAACCAGUUGGAGGAACAUGUCAUUAGUCAAGGACGCACAUGGCACCAUGGAGGUGAUGUUGAUCAACGUCAUACGAUCUAUGGUAGGGACGUUCUCGGCAGCCAUUGGAGAAGGUUUGAAAGAAGAAAGGAGAAAGAGAAGAAGUUAAGGAUUUGAAAUAAAUUGGAGUAUGAAUUAGGAAUGAAAGACAUAACUAAAAACGCGGUUUGGCUUAUUUCCGGAGACCCAAAAUAGCCCAUUUUUACAUCAAUACAUACCCGGAUAUCCAAUUGUUAAUUGUCGGGUAAAGCCAAGCAUAGUGAUAGUGUGUAACGUGUUUCUGUUUCCAACAUGCUGACGAUGAUGCUGCUGCUGGUAAAACAAAUAACAACAUUACUUUAUUUUGCGUCAUCUUACGGUAUUAUAUCGUUCUUCAUAUCGUUGACAUGAAUGACUUUUAAUUUUCUUGUGGGUGUUUGAACAUGAAUGAUUGAUUGUUGAAUAUGGUGGAGAGAUAAGCAUCAAAGCAUUGGUGGGAACAAGUGAGACCCCACCCCAUCCCACCCUCAUUUUCAUAGUAUUAAACCCUUCCCCAAUAGGCCAACUCCAAUACCCAUCCCAGUAUCCCAUAUGUCUAAUCACACGUUAUUUUUGCUGGUGAUCGUUCUCAGUAGCAAUACUGUUGAUAUAUAGGAUUGUCAAUUUGUGUACCACUGCCACUACCACCCAUACUCAUUCGUUGUAAAUAUUGGCUUCUUUUGCGGUCCUUCAUAAUCAUUAGCGAGUAAGUUCCACUUCAGUCGAAAAACUCGGUUUUGUAUAUGCAUUGAAUU